AAGCAUGCCAUGUAUCUGAUUACUCCGUCAAGGUUGGGACCGGAAAAUGACCUAUUGCACCGUGUCAAUUGUCCUUUGCAGAAGCCCUUACUGUUAAUCAAGAGAGGGAGAUUAGAGGAGAUCAGAACUACCAGCCAGAAGAGCGUUUUGCAUUUGACUACACCUUUCCACCAGCGUGUGUAUUUUCUCCCAGAAAAAAACACCACCCGGGAGCAGGUUCUGCAGGGAGAAAUUCUCCAGGCUGAACUGUUAUUCUCUAGUCCCCACGCUCCGCCAUGUCAGAAAGCAGGACUUGAUGGUCUGUCUGGGUUUCCAUGUUACAGAGGUGAGACAGAGGGUCAGUAAAACAAACAGAUGAAAAGAAACAGGCUGGAAAGUUGGAGAGUAGUUACAUGCUACAGGCAGGUUCAAGUUGCCUGAGAGGAGGAUGAGUUUUAUAGCUUAGGAGGCUAUCCUGUAUGCAUUCCAGCAAUGGAAUAGCAUUGCAGUUUAUGGCCACGUGGUACAAAAAUCUGUAGCCUUUGGUAUGUCGUUUAAUCUGGUUGCUUGUCUAUAAAC
rnacentral:lncRNA from 1 species